rnacentral:rRNA from 1 species
CGGGAGCAAUCCUGGUGGCGAGUGGCGAACGGGUGAGUAACAUAUCGGAACGUGCCCAGUCGUGGGGGAUAACGCAGCGAAAGCUGUGCUAAUACCGCAUACGAUCCAUGGAUGAAAGCGGGGGAUCGCAAGACCUCGCGCGAUUGGAGCGGCCGAUAUCAGAUUAGCUAGUUGGUGGGGUAAAAGCCCACCAAGGCGACGAUCUGUAGCUGGUCUGAGAGGACGACCAGCCACACUGGAACUGAGACACGGUCCAGACUCCUACGGGAGGCAGCAGUGGGGAAUUUUGGACAAUGGGCGCAAGCCUGAUCCAGCAAUGCCGCGUGCAGGACGAAGGCCUUCGGGUUGUAAACUGCUUUUGUACGGAACGAAACGGUGAGCUCUAAUAAAGUUUGCUAAUGACGGUACCGUAAGAAUAAGCACCGGCUAACUACGUGCCAGCAGCCGCGGUAAUACGUAGGGUGCGAGCGUUAAUCGGAAUUACUGGGCGUAAAGCGUGCGCAGGCGGUUAUAUAAGACAGAUGUGAAAUCCCCGGGCUCAACCUGGGACCUGCAUUUGUGACUGUAUAGCUAGAGUACGGUAGAGGGGGAUGGAAUUCCGCGUGUAGCAGUGAAAUGCGUAGAUAUGCGGAGGAACACCGAUGGCGAAGGCAAUCCCCUGGACCUGUACUGACGCUCAUGCACGAAAGCGUGG